rnacentral:rRNA from 1 species
GACGAACGCUGGCGGCGUGCUUAACACAUGCCAGUCGAACGGAAAGGCCUUUUCGGAGGUACUCGAGUGGCGAACGGGUGAGUAACACGUGGGUGAUCUGCCCUGCACUCUGGGAUAAGCCUGGGAAACUGGGUCUAAUACCGGAUAGGACCGCACUUUAGUGUGUGUGGUGGAAAGUUUUUUCGGUGUAGGAUGAGCCCGCGGCCUAUCAGCUUGUUGGUGGGGUAAUGGCCUACCAAGGCGGCGACGGGUAGCCGGACUGAGAGGUUGGUCGGCCACAUUGGGACUGAGAUACGGCCCAGACGCCGACGGGAGGCAGCAGUGGGGAAUAUUGCACAAUGGGCGCAAGCCUGAUGCAGCGGCGCCGCGUGGGGGAUGACGGCCUUCGGGUUGUAAACUCCUUUCGCCAGGGACGAAGCGUUUUGUGACGGUACCUGGAGAAGAAGCACCGGCUAACUACGUG